CUCCUCGAGAGGUAUUGGUGCUGAAGGGAAGCCGAAGAGUGUGCUACCUGGGAAGUAUAGUCGCAAGGCCGAAACUUAAAGGAAUUGGCGGGGAGACACUACAACGAGUGACGCGUGCGGUUCAAUUAGAUUUUACACCGUGAACCUCACCAGGAGCGACAGCAGGAUGAAGGUCAGUCUAAAGGGCUUACCUGACACGCUGAGAGGAGCUGCAUGGCCGACGUCAGCCUGUGCCGUGAGGUGACCUGUUAAAUCAGGUAACAGGCAAGACCCCCGUUCAUAUUUACUACGUGUACAAUAUGGAGAUUGCCUUGGAAACGAGGAUGAAAGUGGGGGCUACGUUAGGUGAGUACAGCCCGAAUCCCCUGGGCAACACGCGCGCGUCAAUGGUGGAUACAACGAGAUGCGACACCGAAAGGUGAAGCUAAUCUCUUAAAGUCCAUCUUAGUCUAGAUCGAGGUUUGUAACUCAGCCUCGUGACACUGGAAUUCGUAGUAAUCGUUUGUUAUCAACGAACGGUGAAUAUGUCACGGUCUCUUGCACACACUGCCCGUCAAAUCAACCGAGUUUAUCUAUGGUGAAAUCUUUCGAGAGAGAACCUUGGGUAGACAAGGUAGGUUAAGUCGUAACAAGGUAGCC
rnacentral:rRNA from 1 species